rnacentral:rRNA from 1 species
GAUGAACGCUGGCGGCGUGCCUAAUACAUGCAAGCCGAGCGAACGGACGAGAAGCUUGCUUUUCUGAUGUUAGCGGCGGACGGGUGAGUAACACGUGGAUAACCUACCUAUAAGACUGGGAUAACUUCGGGAAACCGGAGCUAAUACCGGAUAAUAUUUUGAACCGCAUGGUUCAAAAGUGAAAGACGGUCUUGCUGUCACUUAUAGAUGGAUCCGCGCUGCAUUAGCUAGUUGGUAAGGUAACGGCUUACCAAGGCAACGAUGCAUAGCCGACCUGAGAGGGUGAUCGGCCACACUGGAACUGAGACACGGUCCAGACUCCUACGGGAGGCAGCAGUAGGGAAUCUUCCGCAAUGGGCGAAAGCCUGACGGAGAAACGCCGCGUGAGUGAUGAAGGUCUUCGGAUCGUAAAACUCUGUUAUUAGGGAAGAACAUAUGUGUAAGUAACUGUGCACAUCUUGACGGUACCUAAUCAGAAAGCCACGGCUAACUACGUG